rnacentral:rRNA from 1 species
CCGGAAAACUCACCAAGGCCGACUAUUAGAUGAAGAUCAGCGUAAUGAGCUUAUCGGAUUUUUAGAGAGGUGGUGCAUGGCCGUCGUCAGUUCGUACUGUAAAGCGUUCUGUUAAGUCAGAUAACGAACGAGACCCUCAUCUCUAUUUGCUACCCUGUUCUCAGGAACAGGCGCACUAUAGAGAGACCGCUGGUGUGAAACCAGAGGAAGGCGAGGGCAACGACAGGUCAGUAUGCCCCGAAUGUCUUGGGCUACACGCGCGCUACAAAGGACAGGACAAUGGGAUGCUAGGCCGAGAGGCAUUCACGCUAACCCGAAACCUGUUCAUAGUUCGGAUUGAGGGCUGUAACUCGCCCUCAUGAAGCUGGAUUCCGUAGUAAUCGUGUUUCAAUAUAGCACGGUGAAUAUGCCCCUGCUCCUUGCACACACCGCCCGUCAAACCAUCUUAGUUGGGGGUGGGUGAGGCUGCGCUUUAUGGCGUAUUCGAGCCUACCUUCGACAAGGAGGGUUAAGUCGUAACAAGGUAUCUGUAGGGGAACCUGCAGAUG